rnacentral:rRNA from 1 species
UACGUAGGGGGCUAGCGUUGUCCGGAAUCAUUGGGCGUAAAGCGCGUGUAGGCGGCCCGGUAAGUCCGCUGUGAAAGUCGGGGGCUCAACCCUCGGAUGCCGGUGGAUACUGUCGGGCUUGAGUACGGAAGAGGCGAGUGGAAUUCCUGGUGUAGCGGUGAAAUGCGCAGAUAUCAGGAGGAACACCUAUUGCGAAGGCAGCUCGCUGGGACGUGACUGACGCUGAGACGCGAAGCGUGG